UUCGCAUUCUUCUUCUUCCACAAAAAUUAAAUUUACAGAACCAGAAGAAAACCCUCAAGGUUGUCUUCUUCUUCUUCUUCGUCUUUGUCUUCGUCUUCUUCUUCUUUGUCUCCUACUCCUGCCGUCAUAUCCAGUUGAAGGUCUCCUUCAUCAAAGGGUAUUUUUCUACUUUUUAUUCGGUGAAAUAUAUCCAGACAUUCUUUAUCUUUCUGAAAUUCUAGGGAGCAUAAUCUUUCAUCUAUGUUUGUGUUCUCUUCGGUCUUGAUCAGGACAUAUUAUGGGUUUGAUUUUCUUCAAAACUACUGUGAUGCCCUAAUCAUGCCAAAAAGACCAUCGAUUAUCGAUUAUCAAGUUGGUGCGUGCCAUUAAUUUUUCCCUUUUGAUAUAUUUUCUUGCUAAUGGAUCACCAAAAAACCAAAUUAUUUUUUUAGGUUUUUGAAAAAUAUUCAAGAUUUGAGGUGCGGGAAGAGAUAAGAAGGGGCACAAAUGGAGGGAGCUUUUGGCUACAGAAAACCAUUUCUUAAGUUGGACUUCUUUAAAAACCCUUUUUAUUUUAUAUUAUUAGUUGGUGUGUGUAUUUUUUUUUCUACGAUUUUCGUAAUCAAAAGCAGAGACAUUGUUUCCUCUU